AAAAACCGGUUCUAAUUCGAUCGCCGAAGUUAAGCAAGGUUGAGCCUCGUCAGUACGUAGAUGGGUAACCGCUUGAGAAUACCAUGUAUUGUCA